UGGGGCCCUGGUAACCCAGUGACAUUGUUAUGUAUAACCAUGUGUCAUCUGCAUAGAUGUGGUGACUUGUUUACUUGUUUUGUACAGUAUUAGCCAGCACAUUGUUGCACACCACACACUAUAAGAAUAAAACGGUUAAAUCUGUCAGUAUUUUUCACCACAUGUGGGAUAUCUGUUGUCUUAAUAACUGGCUGGUUUUAUUAAAAACCUUAGGUUUUCAACUUAGGGUUCAUCCCUUCGAAUUCCAGGCCAAAGAUUGCUUUCUUUUUGGUCGACCUGAUUUUCUUUUGUAAAAAUCUAUGUAUCAACUCUAUCCUAUCAAGUACAACAAAUAUAUACACUUUUGUUUUUCUGGACAACCUCAGCUGUCAGUUAAUGAGUGCUAAACAGUAGAUUCAGCACCAUAAAAGUCAACCAAAAAUACAAAAUGGAAAUUGAUACUAACAGUACUUUGCACAAAAAAAACAUAAACCUAUCAUGACCAAGCCUCUUCUCAACUGCACAUCAUUCUCUAGAGUCUUGGCCAUCAGAACAAGAAAUAUUGGCAUUGGAACUAACACACAGCAGAAACUAUUUACAUAUUUACACUUAGUCUCACAGGCAUUUUUUUUUAAUUCUUAAUUACCGUUAUGUAUGCCACUCAUUAAAGCAGAUCAUGUCAGUCUAAAGUUUGUGAGCAAAAUACAUAAUCUUUUCUUUGCUUGUUUCAAAGCAUGGAGGACCAUUAUUUCAGAGAGCAGAGAACGGUCUUGUCACUUGUUGAUCGUUGGUUGCCUCGGAUUGGACAUUCCCCGAGAGAAAACAAUAGAAGAAGAAUAUGAGACCAUAUAAUUGAUUGAAGUUUGACAGGAAGUGAUAUCAUAAAAACAGCCGGUCAAACAUGGAGUCCAUUAGCGGUUAUUGAGCGAUAGCGAUCUUUUUUUAUCACAACAAUAUAAUAAAUAAUCAUGUUUACACUGAUAUAUCUCUGUGGAUUUACCAUUAGAAGUCUUUGAUCAAACACCUAUUUGUGCUGCUGGAUUGUAAACCUCAUGGCAGGUUUACAAAUGUCUGGAAACCCUGGAUAGAUGGAUAAAAGGGUAAGCUUUCAAAUGCAUUUUACCCCAUAAAGAUACACAACACAGUUCCUGAGAAAUUGUAAACAAUACUAAUGUUGUCACGUGGGGGUGCCGGUGAUCCAGCAGAGUUCAAAGUGUUAAUCUAGACUUUACACUCUAAUUUAAGACUUAUACAAAGCUGGAGGCCAUUUGCGAAGUUUUUAAGCAUCACUAUAUUUACUUUUAUAGUGGUACAUUGCAUUUUUUACGAGGACUCAUAAGGGUAAUCAAGUCUCUAGAUGCAGCUGUUUUCAUGAUUCGCAAAGUAAGAUUGUCUCCCUCCAAAUCGCACUCUUCUCUAAAAAGAAAAAGUCAAACACAAAGAUAUACCAGUACAACAGGGUGUCUGUAUACUACUAUGUGUUUAACAGCCACAACAUUUAAUGGAAAAAGACAGACGAGGCCAGUGAUAAGCACAUCUAAUUAUGAGUCACCCUGUUGAAAUAUUUGCAUUGUCUUGUUUCAUAAAUAAAUUGUAUCAGCUGUCGCAUUUUAUCAAGACGUAAAGUCACACAGUCCAUCAGCCAUCUAGGUUACACACCCAACCUCCAUCUGGAUUAUGAUGAUGAUGAUGCAAAUGCUUGCAAGCGUAACAAGAUUAAUUCAGUGACAAGAUGCUCAUUUCAUUAGCCGUCACAACCCUUUCAACUACGCUCAGGUAUUUCAUGAGGAGAGCACAAUGGCUUGAAAAGCAAGUGACAACAUGUUCUGUGGAUGAACACGCAAGAGUCUGAACAGGUUAAAGCAAUUAAUACAAAAAUUGAUGAAAUAUUACUGUUGGAAUGCUCUAACAGUAAGUGUUUGUGUGUUCAAGGACAUUUUUUUCAUUUGACUGUGCCAUUAAAAGGAUGAAUUGAGUAAUAUGUGCCUCACAGUUGUGUGUCAGAGUUUCAUGACGUUAACAGUUUGAAAGUGGGUGCCUGUGUCUGCAGUUCAGCCACAUUUUAAAGCUGCUGUUGCUAGCUGUUACUCUAGC
rnacentral:lncRNA from 1 species